GAGGCUGUGAUGAAGGUUGAUAAGUGC
rnacentral:piRNA from 1 species